rnacentral:misc_RNA from 1 species
UGGUUCUGGCAUNGAUGAAGAACGCAGCGAAAUGCGAUAAGUAAUGUGAAUUGCAGAAUUCAGUGAAUCAUCGAAUCUUUGAACGCACAUUGCGCCCAUUAGUAUCCUAGUGGGCAUGCCUGUUCGAGCGUCAUUUCAACCCUUAAGCCUAGCUUAGUGUUGGGAGACUGCCUAAUACGCAGCUCCUCAAAACCAGUGGCAGAGUUUUCUCGUACUCUGAGCGCAGUAAUUUUACCUCGCUUCUGUAAGACGAUUAGACGAUAGCCAAAAACCGCAUCCCUCGGGAGCACUUUUUAAUGGUUGACCUCGGAUCAGGUAGGAAUACCCGCUGA